UUUAAUCUUGAAACUAAUUAACACAUUAUAUAUACCAAAACAAUCUGUUACACUCCUGUACUGUUUAUAAAGAUGAAAAAUGAUAAAAAGAAAGAAAAUGAGGAAUCUCAAAAAGCCAAGCUCUUUUGUAGCUAGGAAGGAGAGAGUACAAUAAAAAGUUAAUUUUGAAUCUAUUUUCUCAAUAAUUCAGAGCUUUACAGUCCAGAAAGAGGCUCAACCCACAGAGAGGAAUGGUGGAGGAAAAGGAUAGUGUCUCCUUCUAUGCAAAUUCUUCUUUCUCUCUUUUAUUCUUUGGUUCUUCUCUUUGUCAGAGUUCUUAACCAGCUCUUCCUCACCUUGACUCCUUCAAACUUGGUGCCCACGUGGCACACGUUGUUUGCUUUGUUGGACCUCUUCCAUCUGAUGACUUGGAAUAGAUGACCAAUCCGCUUUCGCCACCUCAGCGAGGCACGCGGUUUUGCAUGAUCUAUCACGGUCAUUGUAUCCUCAGUGUCUUUGGAUUGUUUAAAAUCCUUGUUUUGCUUAUUCAAAUUAUGGUUCCAGAACUUGGCGCAUUGCUCCGAAGUGCCCUUUUCCCAUGAGGCAGCUCCAUUCUCUUCAAACUUUAUUGAUAUGAAGGACUCUUCUGGACCAGUGGAGGCAUCAGAUUUACCAGAGUUAUUAUCAGAUUUCCAGUGGCGGAAUUCGAGCCGAUUGAGAAGAGAAUCCAAAGCAAAGAUCUUAGGAAGGCUGAUGGAAGGCUUCCUGGUGGGAUUAGUGAAGGAUUGAGGUCUAUGAGUUGCUCUAGAUGAUGGAAGCUGGCCCUGCUUCGCAGCCAAUACAAGGAGCCUCUCAUUUAGGCAUAGAGGACAGACCCCCACAACAAACUCUUUAGGAUGGAAAUAGCAGAAAGAAUUGUCUUCUCUAUACCCAUUCAUGGCAUAUAAUUCCAGAGAGUAUGCAAUAAACUAAAUCCUGUGGGUGGACUUCUUGUGGGAGAGAAAAACUGUUGUUAGGAUGAAGAAAUAUAUGUAUGUAUAUAUGCUGUGUGAAGGUUUAUUUGUUUGUUUAUUUAUUUAUUUUUAUUGAGAUUCAGGGAUAUAAUAUGCAUAGGUAAUUUGUUCUUGAUGUGAUUUUCAGGCCAUGUCACGGUGCUCUCUUGCAAUACCCUGCAGUACUUUCAACAGUGAUGGUUCAAUAUUUGCAUAUUCGGUAAUACAUAAUUUUCUUUCGCAGUUGCCAGUGGCAGUGACUGUGUUCCUGGAAAUACUCACCACCACAACCACACCCCACCCCCUUUCCUUCUCUUCCAUUGACUCAAAACACGCAUCCUGACAGGUGAAACCAAUGAAGUGAUAUCAACUAAAAAUGAGUGAAAGGACCUAUGCCCAUGAUAAACAACAGUUUAAAGUACCUAAAUCUAUAUAGGGGGUUGGGGAAGGUUUUUAAUUUUAUUGUAUUGAGCAGUAAGCAGUGAUGGACCUUGUUUCUUCCUACUGUGUUGUCAUGUUAAAAUGCAUGUAUAAGCGUAAUAGAAAAGUGAAAAUCUUCCAAUUGCUUGUCCUCAUUGUUGCUUUCUUUGGCUUAUCUUGAAUUAAUAAUGUAACACCCUAGGCAAAUCUCACAUCAGCAAAACACGAGAGAGAUGCUGUG
rnacentral:misc_RNA from 1 species